rnacentral:rRNA from 1 species
UACGUAGGUGGCAAGCGUUGUCCGGAUUUACUGGGCGUAAAGAGCGCGCAGGCGGUCGUUCAAGUCGCGUGUGAAAGCCCCCGGCUCAACUGGGGAGGGUCACGCGAUACUGAUCGACUCGAAGGCAGGAGAGGGAAGUGGAAUUCCCGGUGUAGUGGUGAAAUGCGUAGAUAUCGGGAGGAACACCAGUGGCGAAGGCGACUUCUUGGCCUGUUCUUGACGCUGAGGCGCGAAAGCUAGGGGAGCAAACGGG